UUGCUCACCAAACCGCUUAUUUUGCCGCACAACAAUUCGAAAGGAAAGCUAAUACCGCAUACGUCCAACGGGAGAAAGCAGGGGAUCUUCGGACCUUGCGCUAAUAGAUGAGCCUAAGUCGGAUUACCUAGUUGGUGGGGUAAAGGCCUACCAAGGCGACGAUCUGUAGCGGGUCUGAGAGGAUGAUCCGCCACACUGGGACUGAGACACGGCCCAGACUCCUACGGGAGGCAGCAGUGGGGAAUAUUGGACAAUGGGCGCAAGCCUGAUCCAGCCAUGCCGCGUGUGUGAAGAAGGCCUUAUGGUUGUAAAGCACUUUAAGCGAGGAGGAGGCUACUUUAGUUAAUACCUAGAGAUAGUGGACGUUACUCGCAGAAUAAGCACCGGCUAACUCUGUGCCAGCAGCCGCGGUAAUACAGAGGGUGCAAGCGUUAAUCGGAUUUACUGGGCGUAAAGCGCGCGUAGGCGGCUAAUUAAGUCAAAUGUGAAAUCCCCGAGCUUAACUUGGGAAUUGCAUUCGAUACUGGUUAGCUAGAGUGUGGGAGAGGAUGGUAGAAUUCCAGGUGUAGCGGUGAAAUGCGUAGAGAUCUGGAGGAAUACCGAUGGCGAAGGCAGCCAUCUGGCCUAACACUGACGCUGAGGUGCGAAAGCAUGGGGAGC
rnacentral:rRNA from 1 species